GAGGUAUUGGUGUAAUGGUAGCACAACAGGUUGUGGUCCUGUUAGUACGGGUUCAAAUCCCGUAUACCUCC
rfam:Candidatus Yanofskybacteria bacterium RIFCSPHIGHO2_02_FTLL_41_11 rifcsphigho2_02_scaffold_4654, whole genome shotgun sequence.